rnacentral:misc_RNA from 1 species
UCUCCGUAGGUGAACCUGCGGAGGGAUCAUUACUGAGUGAGGGUUUAACCGCCCGACCUCCAACCCUUUUGUGAACCACCUCGUUGCUUCGGGGGCGACCCUGCCGUCCGCGGCGUGGGGCCCCCGAAGGUCUCCCAACACUGCAUCUUUGCGUCGGAGUUUGAAACAAAUUAAACAAAACUUUCAACAACGGAUCUCUUGGUUCUGGCAUCGAUGAAGAACGCAGC